UACGAAGGGGGCUAGCGUUGCUCGGAAUCACUGGGCGUAAAGCGCACGUAGGCGGCUUUUUUUAAGUCAGGGGUGAAAUCCUGGAGCUCAACUCCAGAACUGCCUUUGAUACUGAGAAGCUUGAGUCCGGGAGAGGUGAGUGGAACUGCGAGUGUAGAGGUGAAAUUCGUAGAUAUUCGCAAGAACACCAGUGGCGAAGGCGGCUCACUGGCCCGGUACUGACGCUGAGGUGCGAAAGCGUGGGGAGCAAACAGGG
rnacentral:rRNA from 1 species